rnacentral:pre_miRNA from 13 species
UCAGGUCUUCACCCGGUGGCGAAUCUCUCUGGGGCUUCCAAAUGUCGUAACCGAGCAAGUUAUAGAGAGAAUGCCACACUCUGAGACUAAUUCAGGAGUGCUUUAUUGC